rnacentral:rRNA from 1 species
AGAGUUUGAUCCUGGCUCAGAUUGAACGCUGGCGGCAUGCCUAACACAUGCAAGUCGAACGGUAACGAUGGUAGCUUGCUACCAGGCGACGAGUGGCGGACGGGUGAGUAAUGCAUAGGAAUCUACCCAUGUAGUGGGGGACAACCUGGUGAAAACCAGGCUAAUACCGCAUGAGCCCUUCGGGGGAAAGCAGGGGAUCUUCGGACCUUGCGCUAUUGGAUGAGCCUAUGUCUGAUUAGCUUGUUGGUGGGGUAACGGCCUACCAAGGCAACGAUCAGUAGCUGGUCUGAGAGGACGAUCAGCCACACUGGGACUGAGACACGGCCCAGACUCCUACGGGAGGCAGCAGUGGGGAAUAUUGGACAAUGGGGGCAACCCUGAUCCAGCAAUGCCGCGUGUGUGAAGAAGGCCUGCGGGUUGUAAGGCACUUUCAGUGCGGGAGGAAAAGCUCAAGGUUAAUAACCUUGAGUCUUGACGUUAUCCACAGAAGAAGCACCGGCUAACUCCGUCGCCAGCAGCCGCGGUAAUACAGAGGGUGCAAGCGUUAAUCGGAAUUACUGGGCGUAAAGCGCGCGUAGGCGGUUUGUUAAGUCGGAUGUGAAAGCCCCGGGCUCAACCUGGGAACUGCAUUCGAUACUGGCAGGCUAGAGUAUGGUAGAGGGAAGUGGAAUUCCGGGUGUAGCGGUGAAAUGCGUAGAUAUCCGGAGGAACAUCAGUGGCGAAGGCGGCUUCCUGGACCAAUACUGACGCUGAGGUGCGAAAGCGUGGGGAGCAAACCAGGAUUAGAUAACCCUGGUAGUCCACGCCGUGAACGAUGGAUGCUAGCCGUUGGAUAGUAUACUAUUCAGUGGCGCAGCUAACGCAUUAAGCAUCCCGCCUGGGGAGUACGGUCGCAAGAUUAUAGACUCAAAGGAAUUGACGUGGGGCCCGCACAAGCGGUGGAGCAUGUGGCUUUACCCAGGGCCCUGGACAUCCCGGUCGCGGUUUCCAGAGAUGGAUUCCUUCAGUUUAGCGCUGGACCGGUGACAGGUGCUGCAUGGCCGUCGUCAGCUCGUGUCGUGAGAUGUUGGGUUAAGUCCCGCAACGAGCGCAACCCUCGCCUUUAGUUGCCAGCAUUUAGUUGGGCACUCUAGAGGAACUGCCGGUGAUAAGCCGGAGGAAGGUGGGGAUGACGUCAAGUCCUCAUGGCCCUUAUGGGCUGGGCUACACACGUGCUACAAUGGCGGUGACAGAGGGCAGCGAGAUCGCAAGGUCAAGCUAAUCCCUAAAAACCGUCUCAGUUCGGAUUGUUCUCUGCAACUCGAGAGCAUGAAGGUGGAAUCGCUAGUAAUCGCAGAUCAGCAUGCUCGCGGUGAAUACGUUCCCGGGCCUUGUACACACCGCCCGUCACAUCAUGGGAGUUGGUUCUGCCCGAAGGUGGUGCGCUAACCAGUUUACUGGAAGCAGCCAACCACGGUAGGAUCAGCGACUGGGAUGAAGUCGUAACAAGGUAGCC